GUACACUCCUACGGGAGGCAGCAGUGGGGAAUAUUGGACAAUGGGCGCAAGCCUGAUACAGCCAUGCCGCGUGAGUGAUGAAGGCCCUAGGGUUGUAAAGCUCUUUCACCGGUGAAGAUAAUGACGGUAACCGGAGAAGAAGCCCCAGCUAACUUCGUGCCAGCAGCCGCGGUAAUACGAAGGGGGCUAGCGUUGUUCGGAUUUACUGGGCGUAAAGCGCACGUAGGCGGACUAUUAAGUCAGGGGUGAAAUCCCGGGGCUCAACCCCGGAACUGCCGUUGAUACGGGUAGUCUUGAGUUCGAGAGAGGUGAGUGGAAUUCCGGGUGUAGAGGUGAAAUUCGUAGAUAUUCGGAGGAACACCAGUGGCGAAGGCGGCUCACUGGCUCGAUACUGACGCUGAGGUGCGAAAGCGUGGGGAGCAAACAGGAUUAGAUACCCCGGUAGUCCCA
rnacentral:rRNA from 1 species